rnacentral:rRNA from 1 species
GACGAACGCUGGCGGCGUGCCUAAUACAUGCAAGUUGAGCGCUGAAGGUUGGUACUUGUACCAACUGGAUGAGCAGCGAACGGGUGAGUAACGCGUGGGGAAUCUGCCUUUGAGCGGGGGACAACAUUUGGAAACGAAUGCUAAUACCGCAUAAAAACUUUAAACAAAAGUUUUAAGUUUGAAAGAUGCAAUUGCAUCACUCAAAGAUGAUCCCGCGCUGUAUUAGCUAGUUGGUGAGGUAAAGGCUAACCAAGGCGAUGAUACAUAGCCGACCUGAGAGGGUGAGCGCACACAUUGGGACUGAGACACGGCCCAAACUCCUACGGGAGGCAGCAGUAGGGAAUCUUCGGCAAGGGACGAAAGUCUGACCGAGCAACGCCGCGUGAAUGAAGAAGGUUUUCGGAUCGUAAAACUCUGUUGGUAGAGAAGAACGUUGGUGAGAGUGGAAAGCUCAUCAAGUGACGGUAACUACCCAGAAAGGGACGGCUAACUACGUG